rnacentral:tRNA from 1 species
GCCUCCUUGGCGCAGCUGGGAGCGCGUCGCACUUGUAAUGCGAAGGUCAUUCGUUCAAAUCGGGUAGGAGGCA